rnacentral:rRNA from 1 species
UACGAAGGUGGCAAGCGUUACUCGGAAUUACUAGGCGUAAAGGGCAGGUAGGCGGUUUGAUAAGUCCGUUGUGAAAUCCCUCGGCUUAACCGGGGAACUGCGUCUGAUACUGGAUGGCUUGAGUUCGGGAGAGGGAUGCGGAAUUCCAGGUGUAGCGGUGAAAUGCGUAGAUAUCUGGAGGAACACCGGUGGCGAAGGCGGCAGUCCUGGACCGACACUGACGCUGAGGAGCGGAAAGCC